rnacentral:tRNA from 1 species
AAGGUUUUAAGUUAAAUUAAAAACUAAUAAUCUUCAAAAUUAUUUAUAAAGAAUAUUCAAUCUCUUUAAGCCUUA